rnacentral:rRNA from 1 species
GAUACUGGCAAGCUUGAGUCUCGUAGAGGGGGGUAGAAUUCCAGGUGUAGCGGUGAAAUGCGUAGAGAUCUGGAGGAAUACCGGUGGCGAAGGCGGCCCCCUGGACGAAGACUGACGCUCAGGUGCGAAAGCGUGGGGAGCAAACAGGAUUAGACACCCUGGUAGUCCACGCCGUAAACGAUGUCGACUUGGAGGUUGUGCCCUUGAGGCGUGGCUUCCGGAGCUAACGCGUUAAGUCGACCGCCUGGGGAGUACGGCCGCAAGGUUAAAACUCAAAUGAAUUGACGGGGGCCCGCACAAGCGGUGGAGCAUGUGGUUUAAUUCGAUGCAACGCGAAGAACCUUACCUGGUCUUGACAUCCACGGAAGUUUUCAGAGAUGAGAAUGUGCCUUCGGGAACCGUGAGACAGGUGCUGCAUGGCUGUCGUCAGCUCGUGUUGUGAAAUGUUGGGUUAAGUCCCGCAACGAGCGCAACCCUUAUCCUUUGUUGCCAGCGGUCCGGCCGGGAACUCAAAGGAGACUGCCAGUGAUAAACUGGAGGAAGGUGGGGAUGACGUCAAGUCAUCAUGGCCCUUACGACCAGGGCUACACACGUGCUACAAUGGCGCAUACAAAGAGAAGCGACCUCGCGAGAGCAAGCGGACCUCAUAAAGUGCGUCGUAGUCCGGAUUGGAGUCUGCAACUCGACUCCAUGAAGUCGGAAUCGCUAGUAAUCGUGGAUCAGAAUGCCACGGUGAAUACGUUCCCGGGCCUUGUACACACCGCCCGUCACACCAUGGGAGUGGGUUGCAAAAGAAGUAGGUAGCUUAACCUUCGGGAGGGCGCUUACCACUUUGUGAUUCAUGACUG